AUUCAAACGAUGAAGAGUCCGAAGUAGGCGUUGCAAACUUUGUAGAGAGAGCCGGUGGUUGGUGCAAACCGGUCAAAGCGCAGUAGCUGAAUUACAGGCUUGGAGUUUACGGAAGUGCCCCGUACGGCACAUAUUGAGUCGGGAGAAUCAGAUUCUCCAAGCUGGGUGGUACCGCGCAAAAGCGUCCCUGCA
rnacentral:ncRNA from 1 species